rnacentral:rRNA from 1 species
UAGCUACAGGCUUAACACAUGCAAGUCGAGGGGCAGCAUUUCAGUUUGCUUGCAAACUGGAGAUGGCGACCGGCGCACGGGUGAGUAACACGUAUCCAACCUGCCGAUAACUCGGGGAUAGCCUUUCGAAAGAAAGAUUAAUACCCGAUGGUAUAAUCAGACCGCAUGGUCUUGUUAUUAAAGAAUUUCGGUUAUCGAUGGGGAUGCGUUCCAUUAGGCAGUUGGUGAGGUAACGGCUCACCAAACCUUCGAUGGAUAGGGGUUCUGAGAGGAAGGUCCCCCACAUUGGAACUGAGACACGGUCCAAACUCCUACGGGAGGCAGCAGUGAGGAAUAUUGGUCAAUGGGCGCAGGCCUGAACCAGCCAAGUAGCGUGAAGGAUGACUGCCCUAUGGGUUGUAAACUUCUUUUAUGUGGGAAUAAAGUUUUCCACGUGUGGAAUUUUGUAUGUACCAUAUGAAUAAGGAUCGGCUAACUCCGUGCCAGCAGCCGCGGUAAUACGGAGGAUCCGAGCGUUAUCCGGAUUUAUUGGGUUUAAAGGGAGCGUAGGUGGACAGUUAAGUCAGUUGUGAAAGUUUGCGGCUCAACCGUAAAAUUGCAGUUGAUACUGGCUGUCUUGAGUACAGUAGAGGUGGGCGGAAUUCGUGGUGUAGCGGUGAAAUGCUUAGAUAUCACGAAGAACUCCGAUUGCGAAGGCAGCUCACUGGACUGCAACUGACACUGAUGCUCGAAAGUGUGGGUAUCAAACAGGAUUAGAUACCCUGGUAGUCCACACAGUAAACGAUGAAUACUCGCUGUUUGCGAUAUACAGUAAGCGGCCAAGCGAAAGCAUUAAGUAUUCCACCUGGGGAGUACGCCGGCAACGGUGAAACUCAAAGGAAUUGACGGGGGCCCGCACAAGCGGAGGAACAUGUGGUUUAAUUCGAUGAUACGCGAGGAACCUUACCCGGGCUUAAAUUGCAUUUGAAUAUAUUGGAAACAGUAUAGCCGUAAGGCAAAUGUGAAGGUGCUGCAUGGUUGUCGUCAGCUCGUGCCGUGAGGUGUCGGCUUAAGUGCCAUAACGAGCGCAACCCUUAUCUUUAGUUACUAACAGGUCAUGCUGAGGACUCUAGAGAGACUGCCGUCGUAAGAUGUGAGGAAGGUGGGGAUGACGUCAAAUCAGCACGGCCCUUACGUCCGGGGCUACACACGUGUUACAAUGGGGGGUACAGAAGGCAGCUACCUGGUGACAGGAUGCUAAUCCCAAAAGCCUCUCUCAGUUCGGAUCGAAGUCUGCAACCCGACUUCGUGAAGCUGGAUUCGCUAGUAAUCGCGCAUCAGCCAUGGCGCGGUGAAUACGUUCCCGGGCCUUGUACACACCGCCCGUCAAGCCAUGAAAGCCGGGGGUACCUGAAGUACGUAACCGCAAGGAGCGUCCUAGGGUAAAACUGGUAAUUGG